AUCUCAAAGAGGUUAACCAAAUGAAAGCCUCGAUUCAAAGAGUAGCUGCUACUGCAGAAAAUUCUACUCCUUGCCAUCUUUGGCUUGCAUCCGGGUGUCUGGUGCUCAUCUCUCGCUUUAGCCGGUAGUGAAGUAAUGUCAUCUUCUGGUACCCAGCUCUGUCUUGAGGGGUCAGGAAAUGGAUCAAUAAAGAUGUCUGGAUCUGCGAGGAAGUUUUCUAAAUUUCAUGCAUUUGGGGAUCACCUUCUAUGA
rnacentral:lncRNA from 1 species